rnacentral:rRNA from 1 species
CUACGUGCCAGCAGCCGCGGUAAUACGGAGGGUGCGAGCGUUAAUCGGAAUAACUGGGCGUAAAGGGCACGCAGGCGGUGACUUAAGCAGGAUGUGAAAUCCCCGGGCUCAACCUGGGAACUGCGUUCUGAACUGGGUGACUAGAGUGUGUCAGAGGGAGGUAGAAUUCCACGUGUAGCAGUGAAAUGCGUAGAGAUGUGGAGGAAUACCGAUGGCGAAGGCAGCCUCCUGGGAUAACACUGACGUUCAUGCUCGAAAGCGUGGGUAGCAAACAGGAUUAGAUACCCUGGUAGUCCACGCCCUAAACGAUGUCAAUUAGCUGUUGGGCAACUUGAUUGCUUAGUAGCGUAGCUAACGCGUGAAAUUGACCGCCUGGGGAGUACGGUCGCAAGAUUAAAACUCAAAGGAAUUGACGGGGACCCGCACAAGCGGUGGAUGAUGUGGAUUAAUUCGAUGCAACGCGAAGAACCUUACCUGGUCUUGACAU